UAUCAUACCUAUUCGAAGGGAUAGGGUCGGUUCGGCCGGGUUUCACACAGGUGUUGCAUGGCUGUCGUCAGCUCGUGUCGUGAGAUGUUGGGUUAAGUCCCGCAACGAGCGCAACCCUCAUCCUUAGUUACCAUCAGGUAAUGCUGGGGACUUUAAGGAGACUGCCAGUGAUAAACUGGAGGAAGGUGGGGAUGAUGUCAAGUCAUCAUGGCCCUUAUGGAGUGGGCUACACACGUGCUACAAUGGUGGCUACAAUGGGCUGCAAAGUCGCGAGGCUAAGCCAAUCCCUUAAAAGCCAUCUCAGUUCGGAUUGUACUCUGCAACUCGAGUGCAUGAAGUUGGAAUCGCUAGUAAUCGUGGAUCAGCACGNCCACGGUGAAUACGUUCUCGGGUCUUGUACACACUGCCCGUCACGCCAUGGGAAUUGGUUUCACUCGAA
rnacentral:rRNA from 1 species